rnacentral:rRNA from 1 species
UACGGGGGGGGGCAAGCGUUUGUUCGGAAUUACUGGGCGUAAAGGGCUCGUAGGCGGCCAACUAAGUCAGACGUGAAAUCCCCAGGCUCAACCUGGGAACUGCGUCUGAUACUGUCAGGCUUGAGGCCGGGAGGGGGUAGCGGAAUUCCCAGUGUAGCGGUGAAAUGCGUAGAUAUUGGGAGGAACACCAGUGGCGAAGGCGGCUCACUGGACCGGAACUGACGCUGAGGCGCGAAAGCGUGGGGAGCAAACAGG